CGGAGGGUUGUAGCUGGCCUCUAGGGGCAUGUGCACGCUCUCUUCCGGACCUUUCGCCGUAUGGGCGCGGGGCGACCCGCGUCUUCAUAUACCUCUUCGUGUAGAAAGUCUUUGAAUGUUUUACCAUCAUCGAGUCGCGACUUCUAGGAGACGCGAUUCUUUGAGAAAAAAGUUAUUACAACUUUCAGCAACGGAUCUCUUGGCUCUCGCAUCGAUGAAGAACGCAGCGAAUCGCGAUAUGUAAUGUGAAUUGCAGAUCUACAGUGAAUCAUCGAAUCUUUGAACGCACCUUGCGCUCCUCGGUGUUCCGAGGAGCAUGCCUGUUUGAGUGUCAGUAAAUUCUCAACCCCUCUCGAUUUGCUUCGAGCGGGUGCUUGGAUGUUGGGGGCUGCCGGAGACACUGGAYUCGUCCAGGACUCGGGCUCCUCUUAAAUGAAUCGGCUCGCGGUCGACUUUCGACUUUGCAUGACAAGGCCUUUGGCGUGAUAAUGAUCGCCGUUCGCCGAAGUGCAAGACAGAAUGGUCCCGUGCCUCUAAUGCGUCGACGCCUCUAGGGGCGUCUUCCUCAUUGACGUUG
rnacentral:rRNA from 1 species